CUGGGCCAUUCCCCUUGUUUUAUUUCUUGGAGGCCUAAAUUUAGAUGUUCGUCUAGUAAAUUUCCAACUAUACCACAUACCAUAGCUUUAGAUACAUUAUUGUUAUUAACUGAUUCUCUGAGAGCAUUCACAGAUAUAUUAAUCCACUGCAAAUCUGCAGCAACUGUGUGAAUGUUCUGUAUCGUGACAUCAGUUUCAGCUAGAGUGUUAAAAUCCACUCGUCCCUCUUUAAGCAUAAUUUGCUGCAACCCAUUAACAUAAUUUUGUUCUCGUGAGUUAAGACCCUCUAUGUCUGCCCUAUUCCAAAUUGAUGUUCCCAAACUGAGUCCUGAGAUUAUAUCAGUACCCAGAUCCCUUUUUUCUCUCUCUCUAAACUUGAGCCCUUGUGUUGCAUCCCAGAAUAGAUUAAUAUGUGCUUGAAAUACAUUUUUAAACCAUUCUUUCAUUAUCUCUGGGCAACUCUCUGGUAUAUUAAAUAAUGAAAAAUUUAACAAUAACGGUAAUGUUACAUAAGAUACAUCAGUAUACACAACAGUUUGUGUUGGUUGUAAGAAAAGGCCAUGCUCUGGCCACAGGGUGGUAGUUGGAC